rnacentral:tRNA from 1 species
GGGCCUAUAGCUCAGUUGGCAGAGCCUCCGGCUCAUAACCGGACUGUCCCAGGUUCGAGUCCUGGUGGGCCCACCA